GACGUAGGGCGCGAGCGUUGUCCGGAUUUAUUGGGCGUAAAGAGCUCGUAGGCGGCUUGUUGCGUCGACCGUGAAAACCCGGGGCUCAACUUCGGGCUUGCGGUCGAUACGGGCGGGCUAGAGUUCGGUAGGGGAGACUGGAAUUCCUGGUGUAGCGGUGAAAUGCGCAGAUAUCAGGAGGAACACCGGUGGCGAAGGCGGGUCUCUGGACAGUUCCGUGACGCUGAGGCACGAAGGUCAGGGGAGCAAACGGG
rnacentral:rRNA from 1 species